UGGAGACCUACCAGCACCUGCUGGCUGGCAUUGCUGGGUGAAGCCUGCGCUGAUCUCCUGGUUGGAAGGAAGAGACCAGGAGUUGCUGCAGAGAAGCGUGCUAGCAGAACACAGACAACGAGUUCCGGUAUUGGGGUGCCAGCAACUAACUUUUGGAACGAGAUCUCCAAAUAGGAGUGAGAUGGGAAACAGCCAGCCUCGGUGGGGCAGGGGUGAU